AAAACAAGCAUUUUUAUACGACUGCAAAAAAAUUUUGAGGUCGUAUAUUGGUAUGACGUUGGCGUCGUCGUCGUCGUCGUCGUCGGCGUCGUCGUCCGAAUACACAAUGGUUUUCGCACUCUAACUUUAGUUUAAGUGAAUGGAUCUCUAUGAAAUUUUACCAUAAGGUUCAAUACUACAAUAGGAAGGUGGGGAUUGAUUUUGGGGGUUAUGGUACCAACAGUUAAGGAAUUAGGGGCCAAAAAGGGGCCGAAAAUAAGCAUUUUUGUAACUUCCAGACAUAACUUGUGUGUUAGCAUAUGGAUCUCUUUGACAUUGUACCACAAGAUUCCAUAUCACAAAGGGUCAAUGCUGGGAUUGAUUUUGGGGUUAAUUGCCUCAAAAUUUUAGGAAUAAGGGGCCAAAAGGGGGCAAAAAUCAAGCAUUUUUCUAGUUUCAUGACAAUAACUUGUGUGUAAGUGUAUGGAUCUUUCUGAAAUUUUACUACAAGGUUCCAUUUCACAAAGGGAAAGCUGGAAUUGAGUGUUGUGGUAAUUGCCCAAAACGUUUAGUAAUAAGGGGCCUAAAAAGGGGUUUAAAAUAAGCAUUUUUUAGUUUCUAGACAAUAACUUGUGUUCAAGUGUAUGGAUCUCUCUAAAAUUGUAUUACAAGGUACCAUACCACAAAGGCAAGGCUGUUAUUGAGCUUGGUUUGGGGGGAAAGGGGGGUGGGGGUGAUGAAUCAUAAGGGGGGCGGGGGUCAAAAAAGGGGUAAUUUUUUUUUUUCCUUUUUUUUUUGUUUAAAAUUUACAUUUUAAGUUAGUUAUUUUUUAUCACGAAGAGAAAGUAGGAAUUGAGUUUUGGGGUUAAUUGCUCAAACAUUUAUGAAUAAAGGGCCAAAUAUUGGUCAAAAAUAAGGAUUUUUUUAGUUUGCAACAAAAACUUGUGUUCAAGUGUAUGGAUCUCUGUGAAAUUGUAUUGCAAUGUACCAUUCCACAAAUUGAAGGUUGUGAUUGAGGUGGGGGAUGAUGAAUCAAAAGGGGGUGGAAAAAAUGUGUGGGAGGUAGGAUUUUUUUUUUUCCUUUUUUUUUCUUUAAAAUUUUCCAUUUAAAGAUGGUUGUUUCAGAUUUAUAUAUGAAAGAAAAUAAUAAUGAUACGGUUAUAUAUCAUGAGGAAUUGAAAUUUAAAAUUAUGUAUAUUGGAAAUUUAAGUUACAUUGGAAAGUAAUAAUUGGCUUUGGGGGGGGGGGGGGGGGGGGGAGGGGGUGGUUAUGGCUCUAAUGUUUAAGGAAUAAGGGGCAAAAAGGUUAAAAAACAAGGGUUUCCAUUUUAAUAGACAAAUAAUUGAGUAAAGAACAUUAUUUAAAAGCAGUGUAAGGUUGGUAAUUCAAACUCAUUUAAAUAUCUCAUCUACACUGCUUUUAAAUUAUGUAAAUUGGAAAUUUGCCAAUAACUUUAUUGUUAAUAAAUGCAUUGGAUAUUUGCCAACAAUUUUAGUGUAAUAAACUUCAUUGGAAAUUUGCCAAUAUAAAAUUUUGCUGAUGAAGGUUUUUUGUUUACCUUUAGCCUUGACUAUGAAGUCAUUUUCUAUUUUUAUAGCCUUAUGAUGUAGUUGAAUUAUUUAAUACUUUUAUGAUGUGUUUAAAUGGGGUUUUAUCAUGUUUAUGGUUGCAAAUUUAUUGUUUUAGUAUAAUAAACUCCAUUUAAAAUUUGCCAAUAAAAAAACUUUUUGUUUAUUUUUAGCUAUGAUUAUGAUGUCAUUUUCUAUUUUACUUUUAUGGUUGCAAAGAAAUUUUUAUUUUUAGAUAUUACUGUUAAAUGAUGCUGAUUAAGGUUUUUGCUAUGUUUAGCCAUGACUAUGAUGUCAUUUUUUAUUUUAAUAUCUGUUAUGAUGUAUUUAAAUGGGCUUUUAUGGUUACAAAGGAAUUUUAUUUUUAGAUAUUACUAUAAAAUGUUGCUGAUGCUGAUUAAGGAUUUUGUUUAUUUUUAGCCAUGACUAUGAUGUCAUUUUCUAUUUUAAUACCUUUAUGAUGUAAUUUCCAUUUUUAGCUCACCUGACCUGAAAGGUCAAGUGAGCUUUUCUCAUCACUUUGCGUCCGUCGUCCGUCGUCCUGCGUCCGUCGUCCGUAAACUUUUACAAAAAUCUUCUCCUCUGAAACUACUGGGCCAAAUGCACCCAAACUUAAACACAAUCAUCAUUCAAGUAUCUAGUUUAAAAAAUGUGUCCGGUGACCCGGCCAACCAACCAAGAUGGCCGCCAUGGCUAAAAAUAGAACAUAGUGGUAAAAUGUAGAUUUUGGCUUAUAUCUCUGAAACCAAAGCAUUUAGAGCAAAUCUGACAUGGAGUAAAAUUGUUUAUCAGGUCAAGAUCUAUCUGCCCUGAAAUUUUCAGAUGAAUCGGACAACCCGUUGUUGGGUUGCUGCCCCUGAAUUGGUAAUUUUAAGGAAAUUUUGCCGUUUUUGGUUAUUAUCUUGAAUAUUAUUAUAGAUAGAGAUAAACUGUAAACAGCAAUAAUGUUCAGCAAAGUAAGAUCUACAAAUAAGUCAACUUGACCAAAAUGGUCAGUUGACCCCUUAAGGAGUUAUUGCCCUUUAUAGUCAAUUUUUAACCAUUUUUCGUAAAUUUUUGUAAUCUUUUACAAAAAUCUUCUCCUCUGAAACUACUAAGACAAAUUUAACCAAACUUGUCCACAAUCAUCAAUAGGGUAUCUAGUUUAAAAAAUGUGUCCGAUGACCCCGCCUGCAAACCAAGAUGGCCGACAUGGCUAAAAAAUAGUACAUAGGGUAAAAAGCAGUUUUUGGCUAAUAUCUCUGAAACCAGAGCAUUGAGAGCAAAUCUGACAAGGAUAAAAUUGUUCAUUAGGUCAAGAUCUAUCUGCCCUGAAAUUUUCAGAUGAAUCGGACAACCCGUUGUUGGGUUGCUGCCCCUGAAUUGGUAAUUUUAAGGAAAUUUUGCCGUUUUUGGUUAUUAUCUUGAAUAUUAUUAUAGAUAGAGAUAAACUGUAAACAGCAAUAAUGUUCAGCAAAGUAAGAUCUACAAAUAAGUCAACUUGACCAAAAUGGUCAGUUGACCCCUUAAGGAGUUAUUGCCCUUUAUAGUCAAUUUUUAACCAUUUUUCGUAAAUUUUUGUAAUCUUUUACAAAAAUCUUCUCCUCUGAAACUACUAAGACAAAUUUAACCAAACUUGUCCACAAUCAUCAAUAGGGUAUCUAGUUUAAAAAAUGUGUCCGAUGACCCCGCCUGCAAACCAAGAUGGCCGACAUGGCUAAAAAAUAGUACAUAGGGUAAAAAGCAGUUUUUGGCUAAUAUCUCUGAAACCAGAGCAUUGAGAGCAAAUCUGACAAGGAUAAAAUUGUUCAUUAGGUCAAGAUCUAUCUGCCCUGAAAUUUUCAGACCAAUCAGGCAACACGUUGUUGGGUUGCUGCCCUUGAAUUGGUAAGUUUAAGAAAAUUUUGCAGCUUUUGGUUAUUAUCUUGAAUAUUAUUAUAGAUAGAGAUAAACUGUAAACAACAAUAAUGUACAGCAAAGUAAGAUCUACAAAUAAGUCAACAUAACCAAAAUUGUCAAUUGACCCCUUAAGGAGUUAUUGCCCUUUAUAGUCAAUUUUUUACAAUUUUCAUAAAUUUUGUAAAUUUUUGUAAAUUUUUGCAAAAUAUUUUCCACUGUAACUACUGGGCCAAGUUCAUUAUAGAUAGAGAUAAUAGUAAGGAGCAAGAAUGUUCAGUAAAGUAAGAUCUACAAACACAUCACCAUCACCAAAACACAAUUUUGUCAUGAAUCCAUCUGUGUCCUUUGUUUAAUAUGCACAUAGACCAAGGUGAGCGACACAGGCUCUUUAGAGCCUCUAGUUAGAUAUUACUGUUAAAUGAUGCUGAUUAAGGGUUGUUAGCUAUGUUUAGCCAUGACUAUGAUGUCAUUUUCUAUUUUAAUAUCUUUAUGAUGUAUUUAAAUGGGCUUUUAUGGUUACAAAGGAAUUUUAUUUUUAGAUAUUACUUUAAAUGUUGCUGAUUAAGGAUUUUUGUUUAUUUUUAGCCAUGACUAUGAUGUCACUUUCUAUUUUAAUACCUUUAUGAUGUAUUUAAAUGGGCUCCCAUGUAUUUAGAUUUUUGAUUAUUUAUACAUGUUACCAAAUUGGUCCACAUUGAACAAAAACGGUCCAAAUUUCAACUUUAUUACAUUACAUCAAACAUUGAAUUCUACAUAUUCUUUGGUAUAUUGAAAUUAACAAACAAUUUAGUUUAUGGAUAUUCCACCAUAAUAGGUAAAUUAAUUUUUUUCCAGUUCUUACACCACAUUCAUCCUGUGUCAGAAACCUAUGUUGUGUCAAAUAUUUAAUGACAAUCCAAAGUCAUAGCUGUAUCAAGCUUGAAUUUUGUGUCCAUACUUGCCCCAACUGUUCAGGGUUCGACCUCUGCGGUCGUAUCAAGCUGCGCCCCAGCGAAGCAUUUUAUUCUAAUUU